rnacentral:rRNA from 1 species
UGAGGAAUAUUGCGCAAUGGGCGAAAGCCUGACGCAGCAACGCCGCGUGAGGGACGAAGGCCUUCGGGUCGUAAACCUCUUUUCUGAGGGACGAGCAAGGACGGUACCUCAGGAAUAAGUCUCGGCUAACUACGUGCCAGCAGCCGCGGUAAAACGUAGGAGGCGAGCGUUAUCCGGAUUUACUGGGCGUAAAGCGCACGCAGGCGGCAUGGUAAGUGGGACGUGAAAGCUCCUGGCUUAACUGGGAGAGGCCGUUCGAGACUGCCAAGCUUGAGGAUGGGAGAGGGGUGCAGAAUUCCCGGUGUAGUGGUGGAAUGCGUAGAUAUCGGGAGGAACACCAGUGGCGCAAGCGGCACCCUGGCCCACCCCUGACGCUGAGGUGCGAAAGCGUGGGGAGCAA